GAUGAACGCUGGCGGCGUGCCUAAUACAUGCAAGUCGAGCGAACAGACGAGGAGCUUGCUCCCCUGACGUUAGCGGCGGACGGGUGAGUAACACGUGGAUAACCUACCUAUAAGACUGGGAUAACUUCGGGAAACCGGAGCUAAUACCGGAUAAUAUAUUGAACCGCAUGGUUCAAUAGUGAAAGACGGUUUUGCUGUCACUUAUAGAUGGAUCCGCGCCGCAUUAGCUAGUUGGUAAGGUAACGGCUUACCAAGGCAACGAUGCGUAGCCGACCUGAGAGGGUGAUCGGCCACACUGGAACUGAGACACGGUCCAGACUCCUAUGGGAGGCAGCAGUAGGGAAUCUUCCGCAAUGGGCGAAAGCCUGACGGAGCAACGCCGCGUGAGUGAUGAAGGUCUUCGGAUCGUAAAACUCUGUUAUUAGGGAAGAACAAAUGUGUAAGUAACUAUGCACGUCUUGACGGUACCUAAUCAGAAAGCCACGGCUAACUACGUG
rnacentral:rRNA from 1 species